rnacentral:tRNA from 1 species
GGAGGGGUGCCAGAGUGGUUGAAUGGACCGGUUUUGAAAACCGGCGUGGGGUUUUGCCCUACCGCGAGUUCGAAUCUCGCCCCCUCCGCCA